rnacentral:miRNA from 1 species
ACCAGAAAUAGCAUUACCCCGAGU